CCAACAUAUUUAGAAGCGUUUCCAACAUAUUUAGAAAUAUUUGACUAUUAUGACUGAGUGGUAAAAUGUGUUGGUGUUGCUUUUCAAAGAUUCAGUUUAGAAGGCGGAAUGACUAAAACAAAUUAUUGCAGUUAAUGUCUUGAAAUGGCGCUAGGUGGUGUCGCAGUUUUGCGAAACGUUUAGCGGUGGCGCUAGCCACUACUCCGUUUCAAGCAAACGGCGCGACUUUUGAAGCGGUUGGUUCAGUCGAGCAGUUGCGUGCGGAGAGCCGUUCUUCAUUCUAUGGGAGAGCCAUGCCGCGAAACGUCACAGCUUGCGCUCCCGUCAAGGGACCGCGUUUUUCUGAGGGCCAGCGGGAGACGGUGCUCGCUUUUAUGGAGCAGCAUCCCAAGUUGGCUUUAAGAUCCAGCGAGCUAGGGCCGGGCUUCACCGCUGGCGACCGGCGACGGCUGUGGCAGCAGCUGGUCGACGGGCUGGGAGGAAGGGCCGGUAGUGAAAACAGUGGACCAAUGGCAGGAGUGGUAGCGCAAGCAGGUCUACGAGGCCCGCCGCGACGCUACCGCAAUUGCCCAAGAGCAAAGGUGAGCGACCGUCGAAUGGUCUGGGCGAUUUGUCCUUAGACAUUGGUGUGUAUUUUCAGCAGCACUGGAGGGGGCCGCUUACCCGGCUUCUGCGGCCGAGUACUGCACUUGACGGGGGACGGUCCGCUUGCGUGGCGUCCCCGACCUCCCCUACCAAGAGCAGGCUGACGUUCCCACUGCCACCAUGGAGGUCGUCGUCGAGGCUAUGGACGUGAGGAGCGCAGUGACACCGGCAGAGGAUCCACCGGGCGGCGCAUCGGACACGGAAAGGGUGGCCGCUGAACCUGGUAAGUUAUUGAUCCUCAAGCUGUUAGAGAAAAUAAACUCUCGUAUUUAAUUAAACUAGCCCAAUAAUAACAUGGCCAUAGCCACUUUUAUGCAUACCAUAAAAUGCAGUGUAACUGUAGAAAAUGGUGCAUGCUUUCAGUGUUGCAGCGUCCUGUACGGCCACCACGUCGACAGCGACAGCGACGGGUGGACACCCUUACCACGAUGUCGUCGCAGUGCACCCGCAACCUCGAACAGGGCGACUAGAUG